UCAGGCCACCGGGAAAUGUCCCGGUGCUCCCGAUGGCCAGUCCGCCCCUGUGUGUGUGUGUGUGUGUGUGUGUGUGUGUGUGGUAAAGAUGUCUAAAUAUAACAAAACCCUCCUGUGUGGAAAUUUGAGACUGUUCUCUUUUGGGAAAACAAUUAAAAUAUAUAUUUGGUAUGUAGUAAUUGAUUAGUAUCUGCCAUCAGCCAUCUUGAUGUUUGCUAUGAUGGCAGUACAUCACCUGUUUGCGUCCUUCAUCCUUCUCCCUAUCUCAAACACAGGGUUCAGUGCUGAGAUCUCUGUGUUUGUUCAGACGGGAGAUUCUGUUCAACUGGAUAUACAGACACAACAACUACCAGAGUUUGAUCUUUUAUACUGGAGAAAUGAUAAAUCAGAGAGUAUAGUUAUAUAAGUGGAUCUAAAACAGUAUGAUUGCUCUCUUCCUACAAAGACAGAGUAGAUUUUAAUGAUAAAACCUUCUCUUUAUCACUGAGGAACAUGCCAAAGACAGACAAUGGACUCUACAGAGCAAAAACAAGUGGAGAAUCAGUGUUAUGUUUGUGCACUUACAUAACAUAAGACAGACACUCUGAUUGGAGCUUAGCUUGAACACGUCUUUACUGCGCAAUUGCAAUUAUCACAUUCAACACUAGAGUGCGCAAAUAUAGAAUACUUUCUUGUUAUUGACUCAACAACCAGACAGCAUUAUUGUUACAUACAGAGUAUCUGUAGGUGAGUCUCAUUUCUUUGUCUGAUUGAAUGUGUUCCUGGAUUAAAGACAGUUCAUAAGAUUAAUUUAAGUUGCUUUUUUACUGAUAUAUUCAAAAUAUUUUACUUUUUUUUUUUUAAAUACAUCAAGUGUUUCUGUAACUUCAGUUAAAGAAAACAACAGGAGUCCUUCCCCUGAUGAUUUUUACUCAAAACCCUUUGCAUAGAGAAUAUAGCUGCAUUUUUGGAUAAUUUUUGUACUUUGCAUUGCGCUUAUAUUUUAAUGUACAUUUAACAGCAUCUCUGCUGUUGUCUUAUUUUACCAUAUAAAUGUUUAAACCUUUUUUAAAAUCACUGUGCUGUGAAACUGUGAAUGUGUUUCUGAUUUUGGUUUAAAUGUGUGUGUUUCAGAUGCUGUGGAGGCUCCUGUCCUGACUGUGAUUCCUGUUCUGUCAAUUUUACACUGACUUCACACUCAGCUCCACUUUUGUACAUUACGGCUGCUCACGAGAAGAAGUGACAUCAGACGGAAUCAACACUCUCAUCCUGUUCUGCAGUGUGGAAUCCAUCAUCUGUAACCACAGCAACCCUGUCAGCUGGAAAAAAGACAGAAUAAACAUUAAACAACUCUGUGAAGGUGUCAAACAGGCUGAUGAUACAGACUAUGAUGAUGUUGAGACUCUGACCCAGAAGAUUACAGGGGAUACAUGGACCACCGCUAACCUACAGUAGGACAAAACCAAACACCUUCAUUUGAUUAUGACUGCUGAAGAUCACACACUGCUGAGUAAAAACACUUUGAUGAUUGACUGGACAGAACUUAAAGUCUGAAUUUAACUAGCUGACUUCAUAACUCUUGUUGAAUUAUACAGAUACUUUUACUAUUGUGUGUCAAAAGAAAUUAGUCCUUUUCUGCUCCCCUCAUGACUUUAAUAGUUUUAUGUAAUCAUCAUACUCUUUAUGUGUAUCUUUAUGUGGUUUGAAUUUUCCAUUCUUGACUUUGUUUCUGUUGAACAAGAGAUUUUAAUAUCUCAGUUGGGCUAGCUGUUCAGUAAAUACAAUUUGCAGCUAAAACUGACCAAACAAUUGAUGUUCUAUUAUGAGCUCUAUAAGCUAUACUUUCCCAUUUAUCUCAAAGCCAGUUAAUAUAGAUUAUUACUUAACACAAAAUAAUUCUAACUUUAUCAUAUUCAUAUAUGUCCAUAAAUAUUUUUGUAACAAUUAUUAUUAUUAUACUAUUUAUGAUGCCUGUAUAAAAGUUUCUUGAUUUAAUGCAAUUCACCAAAAAUCACACUAUGAAAAAUAGUAUAACCAUUGUAAAUAGCGUACAGAUCAAAGCAGUAUUAUAAUAAAAAUCUGACUUUACAAAAAUAUUACAAAAAUAAAAUACAUUUGCAAACAUAAAUAGGCCUACAUACCACUAUAUUUAACUAUUUUAUAAUCUAAUUUAUGUUCCUCCUCAGUCAAUGCAGUACUGAAAAUUAGAAUUUAAAACCAGUCAAAACUACAGAAUUGUAUCCUCAUAUUUACAAGUACAGCCUCAUUACGUGUCCUUAGACCCGACAGCGAGUAGCCCAGUGAGUAUUCUAUGGGUCAGGAAAGGAAACCUCACUCCAUAUUGCUUUGUAUGCUUUUUAGUGUAUGACAACCUGUAUUCUGCUGGCAAACCAUUAAAAUAACUGGAGAAGGCAUCCAGAUGAUUCAUGUAGUAAAUAUUUUAGGCGCUCACAUCUGACUACUUCUGCAGAACAGUCACAUUCUGCCACCAGGUAGAUUCCGCCCACAAAACACGUCAUCACUAGUGUUUAUACAUACCUGAAUGGUCUAUUCACUUUAUGCUUAUACAUGUUGUAUUCGUCAGUCUAUGUGUAUUGUUGUUUCAUACUGUGAUUUUCUUUUCUUUCAGUUUUCAUAGUUUCUACUCUCAACUAUAUGCAGGUAAGAAGCUGUUUCUCAAGGAUCUUUAUCUUACCCUGCUCUGCUCACUUUUGUGUAUGUUAAGUGUUUUCUCAUAAACAUAGGCUACACAGAGAGCAAAUCCCAUACAAUAAGGAAUUAAAGGUGCAGUUUAGAAAUUUGUCGAAGACACCUUAUGGUCAAAUAUAACGUGUUUUUUUUUGUUGUUGUUGUUGUUGUUGUUUUGUUUGUUUAGUUUUUUUGUUUUGGAACAGGAAAUAUUUUACUCUAUAGCUCACACUUUCGGUUUGUAGUCUAGAUGACAUGUUGGAUAUAGCAAUGGUAUGCGUUGAGGCGGUUAGUUAUAUGAUAAGAUGAGGCUGCUUAAGUUAGAAUUUAAUUGCACUUUAUUUUCACCAGCAGUGAAUUCUUGAAUGGAUACCAGUUGCUGUUCAACAGCUUUUCCAUUGAUUGAUUGAUUGAUUUUUUAGUUUGUCAGUGUUUCGGCUGUUUAAUCAUAAUUUAUCACAUUCACAUGUAUGUAUAUUUUAGUGUUGUAAAAGUUUGCGAUUUUUCGAUGCAUAU